rnacentral:rRNA from 1 species
CUAAGAAUCUUGCGCAAUGGGCGAAAGCCUGACGCAGCAAUUCCGCGUGGGGGACGAAGGCCCUUGGGUCGUAAACCCCUUUUGUGAGGGAAGAAGUUCUGACGGUACCUCACGAAUAAGACACGGCUAACUACGUGCCAGCAGCCGCGGUAAUACGUAGGUGGCAAGCGUUGUCCGGAUUUACUGGGUGUAAAGGGUAUGUAGGCGGCCCUUCAAGUCGCGUGUCAAAGUCCAGUGCUCAACGCUGGGUGUGCGCGCGAUACUGACGGGCUUGAGGGCUGGAGAGGUGAGCGGAAUUCCCGGUGUAGUGGUAAAAUACGUAGAGAUCGGGAGGAACACCAGCGGCGCAGGCGGCUCACUAGACAGUUUCUGACGCUAAGAUACGAAAGCGUGGGGAGCAAACA